AAUGGCAUCAUCGUCAGCACUGUGAUAGGGAAGGUAUGCCAAAACAACCGAGGGGCCCUUAAAUUUAUCUGCUUCUAAAAGUGCCGAGAUUAGUUGGGUGUAUGAACUAUACAACGCAGUAGAGGCGACAUAUGCAUUGCCAAAGUUCAUGGCAUACAAUCCAAUAUCCUUCUUUCUGGAAGAGGAUCGGACGGCUUCACGAGUAGAGUAAGG